rfam:Jatropha curcas cultivar GZQX0401 scaffold20_54, whole genome shotgun sequence.
GUGUUCAUCCAAAGGAGGGAUGGUUGGCAUCGCCCGUGACAGGGAUGGGAACAGCCUUUGGGCUUACCUGUUAUUAACACGUUCGGUUAUGGCUUCCCACCAUUAUUGGUGGAUCUGUAACCCAAUUUUUUU